UACGUAGGAGGCGAGCGUUGUCCGGAAUUACUGGGCGUAAAGGGCGCGUAGGCGGCCCGCUAAGUCGAACGUGAAAUCCCUGGGCUCAACCCAGGAACUGCGUCCGAUACUGGCGGGCUUGAAUCCGGGAGAGGGAUGUGGAAUUCCUGGUGUAGCGGUGGAAUGCGCAGAUAUCAGGAGGAACACCGAUGGCGAAGGCAGUUCUCUGGGCCGUAACUGACGCUGAGGAGCGAAAGCAUGGGGAGCGAACAGG
rnacentral:rRNA from 1 species